AAAAAAAUAAACCCUAAGUUUUCGUGUUCAACUUUAACUGUCCGUCUUAUAUGAAAUUUUUUUUAUAAUUCGUAUUUUCAUUGUUGUUAAAUGAUAAAACAUGAUUAAUAUUUUAUACGUGACUUGUCUUUUUAAUUUUUUUUAAAUAAGAUGGAUGGUCAAACGUUGGACACGAAAACUAGUGUUUGUCUUUUUU
rfam:Oryza barthii chromosome 6, whole genome shotgun sequence.